rnacentral:rRNA from 1 species
UACGAAGGGGGCUAGCGUUGUUCAGAAUUACUGGGCGUAAAGCGCACGUAGGCGGGUUGUUAAGUCAGGGGUGAAAUCCUGGAGCUCAACUCCAGAACUGCCUUUGAUACUGGCAACCUAGAGACUGGAAGAGGUUAGUGGAAUUCCCAGUGUAGAGGUGAAAUUCGUAGAUAUUGGGAAGAACACCAGUGGCGAAGGCGGCUAACUGGUCCAGCACUGACGCUGAGGUGCGAAAGCGUGGGGAGCAAACAGG